UACGGGGGGAGCAAGCGUUGUUCGGAUUUACUGGGCGUAAAGGGCGCGUAGGCGGUCAGCACAAGUCAGUUGUGAAAUCUCCGGGCCUAACUCGGAAAGGUCAACUGAUACUGUGCGACUAGAGUGCAGAAGGGGCAACUGGAAUUCUCGGUGUAGCGGUGAAAUGCGUAGAUAUCGAGAGGAACACCUGCGGCGAAGGCGGGUUGCUGGGCUGACACUGACGCUGAGGCGCGAAAGCCAGGGGAGCGAACGGG
rnacentral:rRNA from 1 species